GACGAACGCUGGCGGCGUGCUUAACACAUGCAAGUCGAACGGAAAGGCCCUGCAUUGUUGGGGUGCUCGAAUGGAGACCGGGUGAGUAACACGUGGGUAACCUGCCCUUGACGUUGGGAUAACUUCAGGAAACUGGGGCUAAUACCGGAUAGGAGCUCCUGCUGCAUGGUGGGGGUUGGAAAGUUUCGGCGGUUGGGGAUGGACUCGCGUAGUAUCGGCUUGUUGGUUGGGUAGUGGCUUACCAAGGCUUUGCUGGGUAGCUGGCCUGGGAGGGUGACCUGCCAAAUUGCGACGGAAAUACGGCCCAGACCCCUACGGUAGGCAGCAGUGGGGAAUAUUGCACUAUGGGAGGAAGCCUAAUGUAGCAACGCCGCGUGGGGGAUGACGGCCUUCGGGUUGUAAACCGCUUUCGCCUGUGACGAAGCGUUAGUGACGGUAAUGUGUAAAGAAGCACCGGCUAACUACGUG
rnacentral:rRNA from 1 species